UGAUAGUAUCAGAAGAGGAAGGGACGGCUAACUCUGUGCCAGCAGCCGCGGUAAUACAGAGGUCCCGAGCGUUGUUCGGAUUCAUUGGGCGUAAAGGGUGCGUAGGUGGCGCCGUAAGUCGGGUGUGAAAUUUCGGAGCUUAACUCCGAAACUGCAUUCGAUACUGCGGUGCUUGAGGACUGGAGAGGAGACCGGAAUUCAUGGUGUAGCAGUGAAAUGCGUAGAGAUCAUGAGGAAGACCAGUGGCGAAGGCGGGUCUCUGGACAGUCCCUGACACUGAGGCACGAAGGCCAGGGGAGCAAACGGGAUUAGAUACCCCGGUAGUCCUGGCAGUAAACGGUGCACGUUUGGUGUGGGAGGAUUCGACCCCUUCCGCGCCGGAGCUAACGCGUUAAACGUGCCGCCUGGGGAGUACGGUCGCAAGAUUAAAACUCAAAGAAAUUGACGGGGGCCCGCACAAGCGGUGGAGUAUGUGGCUUAAUUCGAUGCAACGCGAAGA
rnacentral:rRNA from 1 species